rnacentral:rRNA from 1 species
CCUACGGGGGGCAGCAGUGGGGAAUAUUGGACAAUGGGGGCAACCCUGAUCCAGCCAUGCCGCGUGUGUGAAGAAGGCCCUCGGGUUGUAAAGCACUUUCAGUGAGGAAGAACGCCUGGUGGUUAAUACCCAUCAGGAAAGACAUCACUCACAGAAGAAGCACCGGCUAACUCCGUGCCAGCAGCCGCGGUAAUACGGAGGGUGCGAGCGUUAAUCGGCAUUACUGGGCGUAAAGCGCGCGUAGGUGGCUUGAUAAGCCGGUUGUGAAAGCCCCGGGCUCAACCUGGGAACGGCAUCCGGAACUGUCAAGCUAGAGUGCAGGAGAGGAAGGUAGAAUUCCCGGUGUAGCGGUGAAAUGCGUAGAGAUCGGGAGGAAUACCAGUGGCGAAGGCGGCCUUCUGGACUGACACUGACACUGAGGUGCGAAAGCGUGGGUAGCAAACAGGAUUAGAUACCCGUGUAGUC